GACGAACGCUGGCGGCGUGCUUAACACAUGCAAGUCGAACGGAAAGGCCCUGCUUUUGUGGGGUGCUCGAUUGGCGAACGGGUGAGUAACACGUGAGUAACCUGCCCUUGACUUUGGGAUAACUUCACGAAACUGGGGCUAAUACCGGAUAGGAGCUCCUGCUGCAUGGUGGUGGUUGGAAAGUUUCGGCGGUUGGGGAUGGACUCGCGGCUUAUCAGCUUGUUGGUGUGGUAGUGGCUUACCAAGGCUUUGACGGGUAGCCGGCCUGAGAGGGUGACCGGCCACAUUGGGACUGAGAUACGGCCCAGACUCCUACGGGAGGCAGCAGUGGGGAAUAUUGCACAAUGGGCGGAAGCGUGAUGCAGCAACGCCGCGUGCGGGAUGACGGCCUUCGGGUUGUAAACCGCUUUCGCCUGUGACGAAGCGUGAGUGACGGUAAUGGGUAAAGAAGCACCGGCUAACUACGUG
rnacentral:rRNA from 1 species